rnacentral:rRNA from 1 species
AUGGAGGUAGAUGUCGACGAAGCGCGCGAAGGGAUCGGCAAUGGUGGCGAGGUUGGACGCAAAAUUAUCAUGAGAGACCUAGCAAGGGUGGAAGGGGAGGAGAGGCGCCGUCGGGAAGCGAGGUUGGCGGGGAAAACUGGAGCAGUACGAGCUGGAAGGAGGCGGUGGAGACGAUGUGAAGGGGUGUGCUCGAGGCCAUGGCGGCAUGGGAUUGCUUCAGGGAGAAGGAGGCGUGAAUGUUGGGGAUGGGAGGAAGAUGGAGAUGUGGAGUCGGGGAAGGAAAGCCAACCGAAGAGAACGAAGCGCUAUUGGCAUGUUGUCCACCUACCGGCUCGGCGCUCGUGCUAA